UCCCCGUUACCGGGGCAGUCUAUUUAGAGAAAUUCAACUAAAUAAAAGGGUUGCGCUCGUUAAUGGACUUAACCAAACAUCUCACGACACGAGCUGACGACGGCCAUGCAACACCUGUCACAUGGUUCAAUAAAGUACUCUCUUCUUUCGAGGAAAUUCCAUGGAUGUCAAACCCUGGUAAGGUUCUUCGCUUACCUUCGAAUUAAAGAACACGCUCCACCGCUUGUGCGGGUCCCCGUCAAUUCCUUUAUGUUUUAGCCUUGCGGCCGUACUCCACAGGCGGGAUGCUUAACGCGUUAGCUUCGCUACUACAAGGGUCGAUACUCGUAACAGCUAGCAUCCAUAGUUUACGGCGUGGACUAC
rnacentral:misc_RNA from 1 species